rnacentral:rRNA from 1 species
CCUACGGGUGGCAGCAGUGGGGAAUAUUGGGCAAUGGACGCAAGCCUGACCCAGCAACGCCGCGUGCAGGAAGAAGGCUUUCUGGUUGUAAACUUCUUUUCUCAGGGACGAAGCAAGUGACGGUACCUGCGGAAUAAGCCACGGCUAACUACGUGCCAGCAGCCGCGGUAAUACGGAGGUGGCAAGCGUUAUCCGGAUUUACUGGGUGUAAGGGGCGUGUAGGCGGGACUGCAAGUCAGAUGUGAAAUCCACGGGCUCAACCUGUGGCCUGCAUUUGAAACUGUAGUGCUUGAGUACUGGAGCGGCAGACGGAAUUCCUAGUGUAGCGGUGAAAUGCGUAGAUAUUAGGAGGAACACCAGUGGCGAAGGCGGUCUGCUGGACAGCAACUGACGCUGAGGCGCGAAAGCGUGGGGAGCAAAUAGGAUUAGAUACCCCUGUAGUC